rnacentral:rRNA from 1 species
CCGGAGAGGGAGCCUGAGAAACGGCUACCACAUCCAAGGAAGGCAGCAGGCGCGCAAAUUACCCAAUCCCGACACGGGGAGGUAGUGACAAUAAAUACUGAUACAGGGCUCUUUCGGGUCUUGUAAUUGGAAUGAGUACAAUUUAAACACCUUAACGAGGAACAAUUGGAGGGCAAGUCUGGUGCCAGCAGCCGCGGUAAUUCCAGCUCCAAUAGCGUAUAUUAAAGUUGUUGCAGUUAAAAAGCUCGUAGUUGAACCUUGGGCCUGGCUAGCCGGUCCGCCUCACCGCGUGCACUGGUCCGGCCGGGCCUUUCCUCCUGGGGAUCCGCAUGCCCUUCGCUGGGUGUGCCGGGGAACCAGGACUUUUACUUUGAAAAAAUUAGAGUGUUCAAAGCAGGCAUCCGCUCGAAUACAUUAGCAUGGAAUAAUGGAAUAGG